UACAGAGGGUGCAAGCGUUAAUCGGAGUUACUGGGCGUAAAGGGCGCGUAGGCGGUUUGAUGGGUGUGAUGUGAAAGCCCUGGGCUUAACCUAGGAAGUGCAUCGCAAACUAGUAAACUGGAGUACAAGAGAGGGUGGCGGAAUUUCCGGUGUAGCGGUGAAACGCGUAGAGAUCGGAAGGAACGUCGAUGGCGAAGGCAGCCACCUGGCUUGAUACUGACGCUGAGGCGCGAAAGCGUGGGGAGCGAACAGG
rnacentral:rRNA from 1 species